CGCUGGCGGCGUGCCUAAUACAUGCAAGUCGUACGCUUCUUUUUCCACCGGAGCUUGCUCCACCGGAAAAAGAAGAGUGGCGAACGGGUGAGUAACACGUGGGUAACCUGCCCAUCAGAAGGGGAUAACACUUGGAAACAGGUGCUAAUACCGUAUAACAAUCGAAACCGCAUGGUUUUGAUUUGAAAGGCGCUUUCGGGUGUCGCUGAUGGAUGGACCCGCGGUGCAUUAGCUAGUUGGUGAGGUAACGGCUCACCAAGGCCACGAUGCAUAGCCGACCUGAGAGGGUGAUCGGCCACAUUGGGACUGAGACACGGCCCAAACUCCUACGGGAGGCAGCAGUAGGGAAUCUUCGGCAAUGGACGAAAGUCUGACCGAGCAACGCCGCGUGAGUGAAGAAGGUUUUCGGAUCGUAAAACUCUGUUGUUAGAGAAGAACAAGGAUGAGAGUAACUGUUCAUCCCUUGACGGUAUCUAACCAGAAAGCCACGGCUAACUACGUGCCAGCAGCCGCGGUAAUACGUAGGUGGCAAGCGUUGUCCGGAUUUAUUGGGCGUAAAGCGAGCGCAGGCGGUUUCUUAAGUCUGAUGUGAAAGCCCCCGGCUCAACCGGGGAGGGUCAUUGGAAACUGGGAGACUUGAGUGCAGAAGAGGAGAGUGGAAUUCCAUGUGUAGCGGUGAAAUGCGUAGAUAUAUGGAGGAACACCAGUGGCGAAGGCGGCUCUCUGGUCUGUAACUGACGCUGAGGCUCGAAAGCGUGGGGAGCAAACAGGAUUAGAUACCCUGGUAGUCCACGCCGUAAACGAUGAGUGCUAAGUGUUGGAGGGUUUCCGCCCUUCAGUGCUGCAGCUAACGCAUUAAGCACUCCGCCUGGGGAGUACGACCGCAAGGUUGAAACUCAAAGGAAUUGACGGGGGCCCGCACAAGCGGUGGAGCAUGUGGUUUAAUUCGAAGCAACGCGAAGAACCUUACCAGGUCUUGACAUCCUUUGACCACUCUAGAGAUAGAGCUUCCCCUUCGGGGGCAAAGUGACAGGUGGUGCAUGGUUGUCGUCAGCUCGUGUCGUGAGAUGUUGGGUUAAGUCCCGCAACGAGCGCAACCCUUAUUGUUAGUUGCCAUCAUUUAGUUGGGCACUCUAGCAAGACUGCCGGUGACAAACCGGAGGAAGGUGGGGAUGACGUCAAAUCAUCAUGCCCCUUAUGACCUGGGCUACACACGUGCUACAAUGGGAAGUACAACGAGUCGCGAAGUCGCGAGGCUAAGCUAAUCUCUUAAAGCUUCUCUCAGUUCGGAUUGUAGGCUGCAACUCGCCUACAUGAAGCCGGAAUCGCUAGUAAUCGCGGAUCAGCACGCCGCGGUGAAUACGUUCCCGGGCCUUGUACACACCGCCCGUCACACCACGAGAGUUUGUAACACCCGAAGUCGGUGAGGUAACCUUUUGGAGCCAGCCGCCUAAGGUGGGAUAGAUGAUUGGGGUGA
rnacentral:rRNA from 1 species